UACAGAGGUCUCAAGCGUUGUUCGGAUUCAUUGGGCGUAAAGGGUGUGUAGGUGGCGCGCUAAGUCGGGUGUGAAAUUUCGGAGCUUAACUCCGAAACUGCAUUCGAUACUGGCGUGCUUGAGGACUGGAGAGGAGACUGGAAUUUACGGUGUAGCAGUGAAAUGCGUAGAUAUCGUAAGGAAGACCAGUGGCGAAGGCGGGUCUCUGGACAGUUCCUGACACUGAGACACGAAGGCCAGGGGAGCAAACGGGAUUAGAUACCCGGUAGUCC
rnacentral:rRNA from 1 species